GAUGAAACGCUAGCGGCAGGGCUUAACACAUGCAAGUCGAGGGGCAGCACAGGUAGCAAUACUGGGUGGCGACCGGCGGACGGGUGCGUAACGCGUAUACAACCUACCUAUAACAGGGGGAUAAGUAAGAGAAAUUUUAUCUAAUACCCCGUAACAUAUCUGAAGGCAUCUUUAGGUAUUGAAAGAUUUAUCGGUUAUAGAUGGGUAUGCGUGACAUUAGGUAGUUGGAGAGGUAACGGCUCACCAAGCCUACGAUGUCUAGGGGAACUGAGAGGUUUAUCCCCCACACUGGUACUGAGACACGGACCAGACUCCUACGGGAGGCAGCAGUGAGGAAUAUUGGUCAAUGGGAGCAAUCCUGAACCAGCCAUGCCGCGUGCAGGAAGACUGCUCUAUGAGUUGUAAACUGCUUUUGUAAGAGGGUAAAAAGGGUUACGUGUAAUCUAUUGAAAGUAUCUUACGAAUAAGGAUCGGCUAACUCCGUGCCAGCAGCCGCGGUAAUAC
rnacentral:rRNA from 1 species